GUGUGAGUGUAUAUAGAAGUGCUAAGUUUAUGCACAUCCUUUUUUCUAAUUUAUAUAAUUUUAUUUCUUUUGCUAUUUAUCAUAUUUAUUCCUGUGAUGCCAAAGCUGCAAUUUUCAGCAGCCAUUACUCAUCUACAGUGUCACAUAAUCCUUCAGAAAUCAUUCUAAUAUGCUGACUUUCUGCUCAAGAAAUAUUUCUUAUUAUCUAUUAGCAAUAUUUUUGUGUAAAUUGUGAUUUGUUUUUUCAGGAUUCUUUGAAGAAUAAAAAGAACAGCAUUAAUUUCAUAUCAUAUAGAAAUCUUUUGUAACAUUAUACAGGGCGUCCAUACAGUCAUUUUUGAUCAAAGUAAUGCAUCUUUGAUUAAUGAAAGUCUGUGUGUGUGUGUGUGUGUGUGUGUGUGUGUGUGUGUGUGUGUGUGUGUGUGUGUGUGUGUGUGUGUGUGUGUGUGUGUGUGUGUGUGUGUGUGUGUGUGUGAUUCAAAUCUUUAUCGCAUCAUAGUUCAGCAGUUGGAUUCAUGUGAUUUAGAUGCACCUAAAAAAUGUUCAGUGAGUCUUCAUCACUUCACCCAACUUCCCCUUAUUCACUCUCUCCUCUGAGAUAUUUAAUUUACAAGUGGCCCCUCCGGAGUCCAGUAAAUCCUUCAACAAAUGUCUUCGAAAAAGUGUGUCUGGAGGUGAUGAGACGCAGGCCUGGGAGGGGUAAGGAAAAAAUAGACUGCAGCGCUGGAAAAUGACUUUUUCUCUUUUCUCGCUCGGCUUCUUUCUUUUUCUUCUUAUUCCCUUUCUCCUCUAAGACUCUUUCGCUCUCAUUGGCUCUCAUAGAUCAUUAGAAGGUUUUAAUUAAAGGUUGGAGGAUUAGGCCAGUUAGCCACAGUCGUUUGUGUUUCUUUUUUCUUUGUUUUUUCCUUGUACUCUCUCUUUCGCUUUUCUUUUUAUCUAUGCUCCAGGUUGUGCUGCUAUUUAAGGGCCUGAUUGAGGGAGAGGAUGUUAAUAAUGUGUGUGUAUGUGACUCAGGUAAGAGUUCUUGGUGCUGUGUGAAGUAAGCGGCCCUCCAUAUUAAGGCAGAGUUGUGAUCAAAGACAUCCACCCACGUAGCUUCAGAUCUAAAGGAGCUGGUUCCCUCUGGGUGAAGCUGACUGCAGGGGAGACCCUCACUCCGGGAGUUAAGAGCUGAACGAAAGUUGCCGUCAGAUCAGCACAGGCCCGUGGGGGGUCUCACCUCAAUCGCUUCCUACUGUGUUCACCUGGGGGCAGGUGAAGUCACACAACUACCCUUAAGAUGCAAAUCCAGACCAUUCUAGCACCAAGCUUAUGAAUACUCAUUCUUUAUGUAAACGUUUACAUUGUAUAACAUUGGCUUCAUCUAUAGGCCAUAUAUAAUAUGAAAUUAAGACCUUUUUACUAGGAAGAGCAUAUGCAUUUGUUGUUAUUAUUAUCUGACUGAAUUAAUUUAGCUACACAUUUUUACGGGUCAGAUCAAACAGAAAUAGUGCUUUAAGGAAAAAAGCCAAUCGUUUCUGAGAAAAGUUAUUGAAUUUUUGAGAAAAUACACUUUCAACUUUCAAGAGCUGAUUCAAAAACACCUCUUUAGCUCUCCCUCUCUCUGUCUCAAUGUGCUGUGAGCACCGUCAAAAUGCAGGUGCGAAUGACAGUGCAGUAUGGCAACGUUUGAUGGCCUUGGCAGCCUGUCAGAGGGAAAUCACUGCCACAUGGCUCUCUUUCUCUCUUGCUCUGUCUUUGUCUCUUGCUCUUUUUCUCCCUCUAUCUCUGACUGGUUGAAGGGUUGACCCUUUCAGCUGGCCCCGCUGGUCACGUCAUCACUGUCUCUCUCUUGCUCUCACUCUGACAGAAGACAUGAGCCACUGGACACGCCAGGGACCGGACAGGUGAGGUCCACUCUGCACACACACACACACACACACACACACACACAGACUCAAACAAGCUGCUCAGACAGACAUACAAACAGACACACACACACACACACACACACACACACACGCACACAGAGCCCUUGGCUUUCAGACAUUUAACUGUCAUGUUUUGUUAAAACUGACUUCUACAAUAUGUGUGGCAUCACAUGCCAAGUGUAAAAAUGAUAAUACAGUGUAUAAGUACAGUGUGUAUGUCUGUCAUGAAACUCUAGCUGGUGCAGGCUGAUGGGUAUUAACGUAAAUGAUGAUAUAUACAUCAUUAAACGACUCUGCAUAAGCUGAUUGGUUUGUGUUGCAUACGCAGCAAAUGAGCUUGCUGCUUUACAUUUAAAUGACUGGUUAGCAUCCACUUGAGCAUUUUGCAGCGUGCUUUCAGAGCUCCUCUGAAACCC
ensembl:lncRNA